UCCGGUUUAACACCGGCAGUCUCCCUAGAGUCCCCGGCAUGACCCGCUGGCAACUAGGGACGAGGGUUGCGCUCGUUGCGCCACUUAAGGCAACACCUCACGGCACGAGCUGACGACAGCCAUGCAGCACCUGUGCGGGCUCCCGAAGGAGGACCGGCUUUCACCGGCUUCACCCCGCAUGUCAAGCCCUGGUAAGGUUCUUCGCGUUGCGUCGAAUUGAGCCACAUGCUCCGCCGCUUGUGCGGGUCCCCGUCAAUUCCUUUGAGUUUUAGCCUUGCGGCCGUACUCCCCAGGCGGGGCGCUUAAUGCGUUAGCUUCGGCACAGAAGGGGUCGAUACCCCCCACACCUAGCGCCCAUCGUUUACGGCUGGGACUAC
rnacentral:misc_RNA from 1 species